CUGGAUGGGAGCGGGGCUGCCGGGAUUAGAACCAGUGCCCAUAUGGGAUCCCGGGCGUGCAAGGCAAGGACCUUAUCCAGUGUGCCAUCGCCCCGGGCCC